rnacentral:siRNA from 1 species
GCGACGGACCGGGCCUAA